UGAGGGUAGGGGUGAAAGGCUAAUCAAACUUGGAGAUAGCUCGUACUCCCCGAAAUGCAUUUAGGUGCAGCCUGUGGAGUUUCUUACGUGAGGUAGAGCGACUGAUUGGAUGCGAGGCUUUCACCGGCUAUCAAGUCCAGACAAACUCCGAAUGCACGUUAAGUAAGAUCCACGGAGUGAGGGCAUGGGUGCUAAGGUCCAUGUCCGAGAGGAGAAGAAUCCAGACCAUCGGCUAAGGUCCCGAAAUAAUAGCUAAGUUGACCAAACGAAGUCAGAGUGCGAAGACAGCUAGGAUGUUGGCUUGGAAGCAGCCAUUCAUUUAAAGAGUGCGUAACAGCUCACUAGUCGAGUGCUUUGGCGUGGAUAAUAAUCGGGCAUAAGCUAUUUACCGAAGCUGUGGGAUGUGUAAACAUCGGUAGGGGAGCAUUCUAGCGGCGCUGAAGGUGAGAGGACAACUCUUGCUGGAGCUUCUAGAAAAGCAAAUGUAGGUAUAAGUAACGAUAAAGGAGGUGAGAAACCUCCUCGCCGAAAGACUAAGGGUUCCUGAUCAACGCUAAUCGGAUCAGGGUUAGUCGGGGCCUAAGGGGAAGCCGAACGGCGCACCCGAUGGAAGAACCGGUUAAUAUUCCGGUACUAAUUAUGUGAGCGAUGUGGAGACGGAGAUGUGACGGUCCUGCCAACUGACGGAAUAGUUGGUUGAAGGGUGUAGGAGUUGAUCUGAGUAGGCAAAUCCGCUCGGAGAUCCGAACCUGACAGUACUCUGAGUGCUUGCACAAGGAGAUAUGGACAACUGUAACGGUGCUCCCAAGAAAAUCCGCUAAGCAUAUUGCAUGAUUACCCGUACCAUAAACCGACACAGGUGGUUGGGUUGAGUAUACUAAGGCGCUCGAGUGAUUCGCGGUUAAGGAACUAGGCAAAAUAGUCCUGUAACUUCGGAAUAAAGGACGCUCACAGUGAAGGCUGUGAGCCGCAGAGAAUAGGCCCAGGCGACUGUUUAACAAAAACACAUGGCUAUGCUAAAUCGAAAGAUACUGUAUAUAGCCUGACACCUGCCCGGUGCUGGAAGGUUAAGAGGAGAUGUCAUCGCAAGAGAAGCAUUGAAUUGAAGCCCCAGUAAACGGCGGCCGUAACUAUAACGGUCCUAAGGUAGCGAAAUUCCUUGUCGGGUAAGUUCCGACCUGCACGAAUGGUGUAACGAUCUGGGUACUGUCUCAACCGCGAGCUCGGUGAAAUUGUAGUAUCGGUGAAGAUGCCGAUUACCCGCAACGGGACGAAAAGACCCCGUGAACCUUUACUAUAGCUUUGCAUUGGAUUUGGGUAACAAAUGUGUAGGAUAGGCCGGAGACUGAGAAGCGGGCACGCCAGUGUUCGUGGAGUCGCCGUUGAAAUACGGCCCUUUUGUUAUUUGGGUUCUAACUCGCUUGAGCGAGGACAUUGCAUGGUGGGUAGUUUGACUGGGGUGGUCGCCUCCAAAAGCGUAACGGAGGCUUCUAAAGGU
rnacentral:rRNA from 1 species